UUUUCAUUACUAAUCGAGAUGUGGCCUUAAAGGCAGCAAGGCGAUUUGUCUAACGUACUGCUCAGAAAGGUCUAAAAAGUAGUGAACGCUGAAGAUAAGAGAACAGAAACAUAAAAACAAUAAUGUCCUGUUAGAUAUAUACAUGUGGCCUACAUAGAUCUGUUAUAUAGGAAGGAGGAAAGUGAUUCAGUCCCUGUGAUCAUUGUCCAGUCAAUGUGAUCAUUGUCCAGUCCAUUUAAUCCUUGCCCAGUUAGUAUAG